AUAGCCUUUCGAAAGGAAGAUUAAUACUCCAUAAUAUAUUGAACGGCAUCGUUUAAUAUUGAAAGCUCCGGCGGAUAGAGAUGGGCACGCGCAAGAUUAGCUAGUUGGUGAGGUAACGGCUCACCAAGGCGAUGAUCUUUAGGGGGCCUGAGAGGGUGAUCCCCCACACUGGUACUGAGACACGGACCAGACUCCUACGGGAGGCAGCAGUGAGGAAUAUUGGUCAAUGGGUGCAAGCCUGAACCAGCCAUCCCGCGUGAAGGACGACUGCCCUAUGGGUUGUAAACCUCUUUUGUAUAGGGAUAAACCUACCCUCGUGAGGGUAGCUGAAGGUACUAUACGAAUAAGCACCGGCUAACUCCGUGCCAGCAGCCGCGGUAAUACGGAGGGUGCAAGCGUUAUCCGGAUUUAUUGGGUUUAAAGGGUCCGUAGGCGGACUUAUAAGUCAGUGGUGAAAGCCUGUCGCUUAACGAUAGAACUGCCAUUGAUACUGUAAGUCUUG
rnacentral:rRNA from 1 species